AAAAAAGUGAAAGAUCACCUUUGGAAGAACAUUAAAGAAGAUAAAUCUAUUGAAAUCUCCAACAUACUAUCAUUAAGCUACAAUGAUUUGUCAACUGCGCUCAAGCAGUGCUUUCUCUACUUUGGUAUUUUUCCAGAAGAUAAAGUGGUCAAGGCUGAUAACAUAAUAUGGUUGUGGAUGGCGGAGGGUUUCAUACCCAGAAGAAGAGUAGAAAGAAUGGAGGAUGUCGCUGAAGGCUUCUUGAAUGAACUGAUAAGAAGAAGCUUGGUUCAAGUGGUGGAUACAUUUUGGGAAAGAGUUACUGAAUGUAGGGUUCAUGAUUUACUCCAUGAUCUUGCGAUACAAAAGGCAUUGGA
rnacentral:misc_RNA from 1 species